AUACGUAGGGGGCUAGCGUUAUCCGGAAUUACUGGGCGUAAAGGGUGCGUAGGUGGUUUCUUAAGUUAGAAGUGAAAUUCCUGAGCUCAACUCGGGCGCUGCUUCUGAAACUGCAGGACUUGAGUGCUGGAGGGGAUAGCGGAAUUCCUAGUGGAGCGGUAAAAUGCGCAGAUAUUAGGAAGAACACCGGUGGCGAAGGCGGCUAUCUGGACAGUAACUGACGCUGAGGCGCGAAAGCGUGGGGAGCAAACAGGAUUAGAUACCCUGGUAGUCCACGCUAUAAACGAUGAGUGCUAGGUGUCGGGGGUCAAACCUCGGUGCCGCAGUUAACACAUUAAGCACUCCGCCUGGGGAGUACGGCCGCAAGGCUGAAACUCAAAUGAAUUGACGGGG
rnacentral:rRNA from 1 species